rnacentral:rRNA from 1 species
AACGAACGCUGGCGGCAUGCCUAACACAUGCAAGUCGAACGAGACCUUCGGGUCUAGUGGCGCACGGGUGCGUAACGCGUGGGAACCUGCCCUUAGGUUCGGAAUAACUCCCCGAAAGGGGUGCUAAUACCGGAUAAUGUCUUCGGACCAAAGAUUUAUCGCCUUUGGAUGGGCCCGCGUUGGAUUAGCUAGUUGGUAGGGUAAAAGCCUACCAAGGCGACGAUCCAUAGCUGGUCUGAGAGGAUGAUCAGCCACACUGGGACUGAGACACGGCCCAGACUCCUACGGGAGGCAGCAGUGGGGAAUAUUGGACAAUGGGCGAGAGCCUGAUCCAGCAAUGCCGCGUUAGUGAUGAAGGCCUUAGGGUUGUAAAGCUCUUUUACCCGGGAUGAUAAUGACAGUACCGGGAGAAUAAGCUCCGGCUAACUCCGUG